UUAACGGAGCGAAAGCGACGUUCAACCGCAAAACAAGCAGAGGGGGCUUAGUGGUGGGGUGACUGCGUACCUUUUGUAUAAUGGGUCAGCGACUUAUAUUCUGUAGCAAGGUUAACCGAAUAGGGGAGCCGGAGGGAAACCGAGUCUUAAUUGGGCGUUAAGUUGCAGGGUAUAGACCCGAAACCCGGUGAUCUAGCCAUGGGCAGGUUGAAGGUUGGGUAACACUAACUGGAGGACCGAACCGACUAAUGUUGAAAAAUUAGCGGAUGACCUGUGGCUGGGGGUGAAAGGCCAAUCAAACCGGGAGAUAGCUGGUUCUCCCCGAAAGCUAUUUAGGUAGCGCCUCGUGAAUUCAUCUCCGGGGGUAGAGCACUGUUUCGGCUAGGGGGCCAUCCCGGCUUACCAACCCGAUGCAAACUGCGAAUACCGGAGAAUGUUAUCACGGGAGACACACGGCGGGUGCUAACGUCCGUCGUGAAGAGGGAAACAACCCAGACCGCCAGCUAAGGUCCCAAAGUCAUGGUUAAGUGGGAAACGAUGUGGGAAGGCCCAGACAGCCAGGAUGUUGGCUUAGAAGCAGCCAUCAUUUAAAGAAAGCGUAAUAGCUCACUGGUCGAGUCGGCCUGCGCGGAAGAUGUAACGGGGCUAAACCAUGCACCGAAGCUGCGGCAGCGAACGUAUCACCCAAGACAACUUUACGGAGUUGACGAUUGACGGAGCGAAGCGACGUCAAAGCGUUCAUUAAAGUCGAGUUGGCUUAGGGAUACGUUCGUUGGGUAGGGGAGCGUUCUGUAAGCCUGUGAAGGUGUGUCGUGAGGCAUGCUGGAGGUAUCAGAAGUGCGAAUGCUGACAUAAGUAACGAUAAAGCGGGUGAAAAGCCCGCUCGCCGGAAGACCAAGGGUUCCUGUCCAACGUUAAUCGGGGCAGGGUGAGUCGACCCCUAAGGCGAGGCCGAAAGGCGUAGUCGAUGGGAAACGGGUUAAUAUUCCCGUACUUGGUGUUACUGCGAAGGGGGGACGGAGAAGGCUAUGUUGGCCGGGCGACGGUUGUCCCGGUUUAAGCGUGUAGGUGUGUGUUCCAGGUAAAUCCGGUUCACUUUAACACUGAGGCGUGACGACGAGGCACUACGGUGCUGAAGCAACAAAUGCCCUGCUUCCAGGAAAA
rnacentral:rRNA from 1 species